CGUAGGUGGCAAGCGUUGUCCGGAUUAUUGGGCGUAAGGGAACGCAGGCGGUCUUAAGUCUGAUGUGAAGCCUUCGGCUUAACCGGAGUAGUGCAUUGGAACUGGAAGACUUGAGUGCAGAAGAGGAGAGUGGAACUCCAUGUGUAGCGGUGAAAUGCGUAGAUAUAUGGAAGAACACCAGUGGCGAAAGCGGCUCUCUGGUCUGUAACUGACGCUGAGGUUCGAAAGCGUGGUAGCAAACAGGAUU
rnacentral:rRNA from 1 species